rnacentral:lncRNA from 1 species
AGGGCCCUAACAGUUUGGGCCUUGGUAGUUCUUCAUCUGAUCAGGCUCGAUCUUUGUUGGAUCAUUUAUGGCAAGGCAUGAUGACCCAAAAUUUGCUUGCUGGUACAUCCAGCAGUACUGAAAAAUCGACGGUGGUAGGAGAUGCGAGUGGUCAAGAAAUUGGAGAUUCUAUCCUUAUUAACGAUAGGCUUUCGGUGAA